UACGAAGGGGGCUAGCGUUGCUCGGAAUCACUGGGCGUAAAGCGCACGUAGGCGGAUCUUUAAGUCAGGGGUGAAAUCCCGAGGCUCAACCUCGGAACUGCCUUUGAUACUGGGGAUCUCGAGUCCGGAAGAGGUUGGUGGAACUCCGAGUGUAGAGGUGAGAUUCGUAGAUAUUGGGAAGAACACCAGUGGCGAAGGCGGCUCACUGGACCGGUAUUGACGCUGAGGUGCGAAAGCGUGGGGAGCAAACAGG
rnacentral:rRNA from 1 species